CGAAUUCGCCCUUCCUACGGGAGGCAGCAGUGGGGAAUCUUGCGCAAUGGGCGAAAGCCUGACGCAGCCAUGCCGCGUGGAUGAUGAAGGUCUUAGGAUUGUAAAAUCCUUUCACCGGGGACGAUAAUGACGGUACCCGGAGAAGAAGCCCCGGCUAACUUCGUGCCAGCAGCCGCGGUAAUACGAAGGGGGCUAGCGUUGCUCGGAAUUACUGGGCGUAAAGGGCGCGUAGGCGGACAGUUAAGUUGGGGGUGAAAGCCCGGGGCUCAACCUCGGAAUUGCCUUCAAUACUGGCUGUCUUGAGUACGGGAGAGGUGAGUGGAACUCCGAGUGUAGAGGUGAAAUUCGUAGAUAUUCGGAAGAACACCAGUGGCGAAGGCGACUCACUGGCCCGUUACUGACGCUGAGGCGCGAAAGCGUGGGGAGCAAACAGGAUUAGAUACCCUGGUAGUCCACGCCGUAAACGAUGAGUGCUAGUUGUCGGCAUGCAUGCAUGUCGGUGACGCAGCUAACGCAUUAAGCACUCCGCCUGGGGAGUACGGUCGCAAGAUUAAAACUCAAAGGAAUUGACGGA
rnacentral:rRNA from 1 species